CAACCUUUUUCCUCCACUUUCACUAUCUGUUUUCAGGCUAUUAAAGGGGAGUAGUCAAAGAGAUCACAUCAGUGAAAAUUGCACUUGCAUACUGUCUUACAGGUUCCCAGCCCCUCCCCCCCAACCGACAAGAGUAAAGUGUUAACACUUUAUUUACUUACCAUAACUCAGCGCUGAGGGAAAUCGUUGUGGCUUUGCCUCCUCUGACGUCCUACGACGAGUGAGCG